rnacentral:rRNA from 1 species
UACGUAGGGUGCAAGCGUUAAUCGGAAUUACUGGGCGUAAAGCGUGCGCAGGCGGCUAUGCAAGACAGAUGUGAAAUCCCCGGGCUCAACCUGGGAACUGCAUUUGUGACUGCAUGGCUGGAGUGCGGCAGAGGGGGAUGGAAUUCCGCGUGUAGCAGUGAAAUGCGUAGAUAUGCGGAGGAACACCGAUGGCGAAGGCAAUCCCCUGGGCCUGCACUGACGCUCAUGCACGAAAGCGUGGGGAGCAAACAGG